UACGAAGGUCCCAAGCGUUGUUCGGAAUCACUGGGCGUAAAGGGAGCGUAGGCGGCGUGGUAAGUCAGAUGUGAAAUCCCGGGGCUCAACCCCGGAACUGCAUCCGAUACUGCCAUGCUAGAGGAUUGGAGAGGUAGCUGGAAUUCUUGGUGUAGCAGUGAAAUGCGUAGAGAUCAAGAGGAACACUCGUGGCGAAAGCGAGCUACUGGACAAUUCCUGACGCUGAGGCUCGAAGGCCAGGGUAGCGAAAGGG
rnacentral:rRNA from 1 species